AACAAACACGGUUUGUGCUUCAACUAAGAAUUGAAGAAGAACUAAAAGGCAAUGUGAAAAAUAAAGUUCUCCAUGAAACUGCGAGAAAGACAAUUGCAGACAAGUUUUAUGAUACAUAUGGGGUGAGGCAUCCAUGGAUAAAGUUUAGGAACAAGUUCAACUCUUGCAAGAAGCAAUAUGGAGCUAUGAAGAGAUUGACUCACAAUAGAACUGGACUGGGAUAUCAUCCAGAUGGCUCAAUAGACAUGAGUGAUGAUUGGUGGGAGCAGCGUUGUAAGGAAUGACCUGGAGCUAGAAAAUACAAAGAUAAACCAGUGGCAAAUGCAGAUCUAAUGGAACAGAUUUUCAGUGGGGUUCAUGUAAGUGGAGCAGAAGGGUGGAGUGCUCAGCAAGGUGAAAAUGAGUUAGACAAUAUGGAGGUAGAGAAUGAUGAUGCCGCAUCUGAAGCAAGGCAAACCGAUCCUCCAGCAAGGCAAACCAAUCCUGAACCAGAUGCUCCCUCAUCCUCUAAUGGUCCACGAGUCUCCAAUGCUCCACAAGCCUCUACUGUCCCAAAGCCUUCUCGGAAAAGGCGUACAGAACAAGCAGCAGAUGUUAUGAGAAGUAGUCUUCAAUCACGUGAUGAGAUACUCUCUUACAAAAACCACCUAAUAGAAAGCCGUCCAGAUUUGAGUUGCAGCCAGCUUAAGGCUAUGAGUGUCUUGCAUUCACUGUCUAGUAUCAGAAUGUGGUCUCCAUUGUACAAAGCUGCUUAUAAACAUCUCAGGGAAGCUGCUACAAAUCGACAGACGUUCCUAAGUUAUGAAGAUGACGAGAACAAGAUUAUCUAUUUGGAGGAAGAGACCGGUGAAAGCAGAUAUGCAUGAGUUUUAUGUUCUCCUAUUUAGUGUCUAAGUAUUGUGUUUCUCUCUAUCUGUUUGGGUCUUGUGUUUCUCUUUAUCUUUAUGCAUGACAUUUAUUUAUGACAUUUUCCUUCUAUGAAAAAAUAUUAGUAUUUGUUAACUCUUUUUACCUUCAUGCUUGUGGUAGAAUUUCAGUAUUUGAAUAUGAUAUUGUUUAACAGGUUUACUUGUUAUUUAGCAGAUAUGCGACGAGACAACAUCAUUAGAUACAUUUGCAUUGCUAACUGAGGAUGAUGAUAUGGAUUUGUUAGAAGAGGAAUAGCUCAUGUAUCAUAUGCUAGAAGAUGUUUAUGGAGUUACAAAUCUUCCUUCUCUUCCUCGACAAAUGCUCAGAACAAACAAAGGUGGAGGUUGGCGCCGUGUUCAGCGCCUCAUGUUUGAGAGUGACAAGCAAUGUUUUGACAUCUUAAGGAUGAAUCAAGGUACUUUUAAGAAUCUGUGCUUUAGGCUUCGACAAUACUACAAACUUGAAGAAUCACAAAACGUCUAUCAUGAAGAGAGUGUGGCAAUGUUUGUUGAAAUGGUUGCACAAGAUUUAACAGUUCGAGCUUUAGCUGAGAGAUAUCAACGUUCAGUAGAUAUGGUGGAUAGAAAACUAGAUCAAGUUCUCUCUGCUCUAUUAAAGCUUGCUGCAGACAUCAUUAAGCCAUCAAGAGGAGAGUUUACUACUCCAUGUCCUGUUCUAGUAAACAAUGAUAGGUAGGUUCUUGAUAUGAUCUCUCCACAUUUUUUCAGUAAGUUCUCUCUCUGAUCUCUCUUUUGUUUACAGGUACAUGCCAUUUUUUGAAGACUGUAUUGGUGCUUUGGACGGAACUCACUUACCUGUUCGUCCUCCGUCUGAUAAUCCGGAACCGUAUAGAGGCAGGAAAGGAGAACCGACAAUCAAUGUUCUCGCAAUAUGCAAUAUGAUAAUGCGAUUCAUCUAUGGGAGUUCCUGGUAGAGAUCAUGACACGAAAGUUCUUACACAUUGUGCGACACAUGAACCAUUCUUCCCUCAUCCACCAGAUGGUAAGUACUAUCUAGUUGAUUCCGGUUAUCCAACUAGAACCGGUUAUCUAGGUCCGCAUCGUAGAACUAGGUAUCAUCUUGACCAGUUUGCUAGGGGAGGACCACCAACAAACUCUAGAGAACUGUUUAACCGGAGGCAUGCUAGUUUACGUUCUGUGAUUGAAAGAACAUUUGGUGUUUGGAAAGCGAAGUGGAGGAUUUUAGAUAGAAAACAUCCGAAGUAUGAUGUUAUAAAGUGGGUGAAGAUUGUGACAGCAACUAUGGCACUUCACAAUUUUAUUCGAGAUUCAUCUGAUGAAGACCGUGAUUUCACUUAUUGGGAAACAGUAAAUGAGUAUGAACAUCAUGGUGACCAAGCAGUAGAAGAGCUUGAGCAUACUCCAUACCUUCCAUCUGGUGAUAGAGCAAUGGAGAUUCGACGUGAUGCAAUCACUGAAAGGAUAGCAAGAGGAAGUCGACUUCCAUAUUAGCUUCACAUAUGAUCAUCAAGCAGUCACUUCCUCCAGGUUUGAGUGUUCAAGACAUUUGAAGAUCAUCUUCUUGAAGUUAAGAGAUUAUGUUUACUAUUGUUCAGACUUGAGUUUUUAUGUCAAGAGUUUAUAUUUCAGAUUUGAGUGUUUCAGUUUUUGAAUGUUUUGAGUCAAGACUUUGAGUUUUUAUUUUGUUAUUUUAAGACUUUGAAUUUUGAGUUUAAUGUUUAUUAUUGUUAUUUUAUAAUGUUAUAAACCAUGAAAAAUUAAAUUUGAUAUUUAUUUUUAUUUAUGUCUA